GCUGAGGUGGGUAACCCCCGGAAGUUGCUAGUCAAAACAACAAUACACUGGAUUUAUAUCGAUACAUCGGCAGAUGAAGACGUUAGACUUUUUAAAAUGUAUUUUUAAUUUAACUAGGCAAGUUAGUUAAGAAGAAAUUCUUAUUUACAAUGACGGCCAACCCCUAACGACGCUGGGACAAUUGUGCGCCGCCCUAUGGGACUUCCAAUCACGGCCGUUUGUGAUACAGCCUGUAACGUUAAUCGAAACAGGGUCUUGUGGUGACGCCUCUUGCGCUGAGAUGCAGUGCCUUAGACCGCUGCGCUACUCGGGAGACCUGUAUGCCCAAGGCAGUCAAGCUAAGAGGUUACUGUAACUGGAUCGAGGGUUACAUUCACGAUGUACAAGCUGCAGUUCUACUCUGAAAGUCCAUUCAUCAUGGAGACUAAAUGCAACUGCAAAGCUGGCCCGGGACAGUGCAACCAUUCCCUCAGUUUACUGUAAACCAUAGCUCAUUACAUUAAAAUGGGCUACACAUCUAUUCCACCAACAGAAACCUAAACAUGCUUGCCUCAAACAUGGCACAUCCGACGCGUACGUCAGGCCUGAAGUCAAAACAUGUAAAAACAGUUAAAUUAUCGAAAGUAAAGCCACUGAGGAAUAACAAUGCACCUGCCAACAAGGUCCGCAGGACUUGAGGGGAUUGUGCCAAAUAUGUAUUGUCCAGUCCCUACACCAUUGCCCAGUAAAUAGUUUGCUAGGAACCUUAUGCAAAACCUUGCUGCAAUAGGAAGCAACUGCCAGAUAUACACCUUGCUGGCCUCAAACUCAGAGCAUACUUUUUUUGUGAAAUGCAACAAUUAUUUCCUUGAGAGUCUGAAAAGUUGGUGGACAUGAAGUCCAAGUUAGACCAAUACUUUUUUGAGCACUUCCUGCCAGCCCUGUGCAGGAAUAAAGAAAAAAUAAAUCACACUGGUAGGUGGACAGGUGUGUCUCUGGUCAACACUCCAGUCCAGUUGGUGGUGGUAAUGCACCUUAAAGUUGGUUGCCAACUGCCAUAUAAAAUCCUCAGAAGAAGAAGGUGGAAUGGUGAUACCCUGGUGCCAUGGUAAUAAUAAAUACUGGUGUAGUUUAUUCAGUGAUGUACAGGACUGGACUUUGAAAUGUUUCUAAUUCCAGUUACGUGAUUGAAGCUUAAAAUAUGUCUAUAAAUGAAGUUAGUCUAUUUGAUUGAAGCUUGAACUUUUAAUGAACUGUGAAAUUAUUGAUGCUGGAGACAUGUAUUUUGAUAAUUAAAUAGUCAUGUUUGAAAAGCAUUUGUCAUGGUAUUCUUCUCAGGUAGAAAUUCAGUAUAUCAAUCUAUUGUACAUCACAGAAAUACAGGGUUCUCCCUUAAGCAUUACAGUGGCUCUGUACAUUGAGUGUUAGACAAAUGGAUAAAUGCUUACAAUAAACAAUUCUUCAUUCAUUCCCAUAUAGUGGAAGUGGGUAGAGCACAAGAUACGUGUUCUUAAAAACAGUAGCUCUUGAAAAGUUGAGUACAGCACGUACAAACCACAGCUGGUUAACUGAACUGGCGAGUGUCAGGGGGAUCACGCUAUCAAAUAUGUCUUCUAAGCCUGGUAAUCAGCUUUCAAGGUGUCAGUCUUUAACCCCCGUGUACAACAUGAUGAACCUGGGAUCACACUGGAAACUAAACUGUUGCCGCCUUAGUGAGUCAUUCUCCUUUGCUAGCCAAUCUAUUUCAUCACGCGCUGCCUCCAGUGGCUCUUCCGUAGGCAGGGGCUUCUGUGUAAUCAUGCUUUGGGAAUAGCAGCUCUGCAACCUGGCCAGCUCUAGGGGAGAAGGAGG
ensembl:lncRNA